UCUCUCAACAUAUCAUGUUGUAGCUAGUCCUCACAGCUCCCACUCUCUCAACAUAUAUGCAUGUGUAUAUCUAGUCCUCAUAGCUCCACUCUCUCAACAAUAUCAUGUUGUAGCUAGUCCUCACAGCUCCACUCUCUCAACAUAUCAGGUUGUAGCUAGUCCUCAAGCUCCACCUCUCAAACAAUAUCAUGUGUAUAUCUAGUCCUCAAAGCUCCACUCUCUCAACAAUAUCAUGUUGUAUCUAGUCCUCACAGCUCCACUCUCUCAACAAUAUCAUGUUGUAGCUAGUCCACAGCUCCACUCUCUCAACAAUACAUGUUAGCUAGUCCUCACCUCACAGCUCCACUCCUCAACAAUAUCAUG
rnacentral:lncRNA from 1 species